CAUGUGAUUGAGACUGACUCUCCGUGAUAUCCAUUUCGCUGUGAAGACUGUGAAUGUCAUCUUGUCUGCCAUGUAAGACAUAUUUGAAAAAUUCGUACCUGAAAAAUUUUAUACAGAACGUUGUAGGAACAUGUUCACGAUGAGAUUGCUGAAAUGUUAUCAGUUUUGUGUACACAACAGAAUUGAUAUGGAUCUAUUUCGGAUUGUUUCCAUAAGCUACGACUCUAAUCAGUAAAAGUAAUGUAACUCGUUGCAGUCAUUGCAGAUUACUUUCUCGAAUUUAAAUCAAUGGGGAGCACGAUGUAUGAGCAGAAAGAUUGACGGCUCGAACAAGCGGUUGUUCAGCAAUUUCAUGAAAUUGAUUCAUUAGAGUACGAUUUUAUGGAUCGAUUUCCAUUUCUUCAUCCUUCUAAUAUUUCACAAUAAUGUACUAAAAAAAAUUCACCUUGGUUUUCAUCAAUGAUAUAAUAAACAUCGAAGAUAAGGUGAAAAAUUUUUAUCAUUUUGAGAUAACAGAACAGAGAAUUCAUAAGAUAUCUAGUCGAGGCUCACAUUUUCAUUCUUCACAAGACAUGUUGGAAUAAGCCAAAUAAUGCUUGCAAAUAAAUUCAAUUUGGUGUAAUUAAUUUGCAAAUACUUAUUAUUUGCAAUUGUCUGAAAGAUCCCGACUAAUGACAGUAUCUGACCGGAAUCAAGUUUGUUGAACCUUUGCAUUGUUAUACAAAUUUUUUAAAUUCCAUCCCAACAGUUCAGCUAUAAACACCUAUGAUUGCGUCAACUUUCAAUAUGAAAUUUUAGAGUUAGGAAAUAUUAGCAAAAUAGUAGGAUAGAAGAUUUCUUACGUCGUCCAACAAAUAGCUGUUGCUGGCAUUUGAUAAAUUACGCGAGCAUUGAGUCCCCUGAAAUACCCUUUGAUGCCUCCAAAUUUAUAGACGGUCCUAAAAGCAUCCCGCAUCCCUUCAACUUGAACACCACCCUGUUGUGUAUUCAAUAGUGUUUUACACACAUCUAGAGGUGUGGUAGCUGCUGCUGCAAUAGCGCCUGCCAUUGCACCUGAAGACACAUGACGAUAAUAAUUUUUAAUAAUAUUGAUAUUCUCCUUUUUCUCUCAGUCAAAGGCUAAAGAACCAAUUAUUAAUCACAAGUUGAGAAAGAUAAAAGACCUCUACAAUUACCAGAAAUCAUGUGGGCUUUAGGAUUGUAAACGUGGUCCGGAUUGGUCCAAGACUGUGCGAAUUCAUAAACAAUAAAAUGAAGGCUCUGGAAAGGUACGUUCAUUGCUAACUGUGUUGUGUAACUUCUAUAGAAUGCUGUUAUACCCUCAGUUUUAUAAACGUGCCGUAAACAUUCCAAUACAUUUCUGUGGGGUGAGUUGUACAUUUGCAAUCGCUGUUUUACCACUGUAACAAUCAUUGAUAUUUUUAUUACUGUAUUUCAUGUUAUUCCCUUCAUUUGAUUUCUGCCUAUUCUUCAAAUUUCUUCUUCCUAUAUGUCAACUACAUACCUUCAGCUGGAUUCAUGACUCCAUCAUGAAGGACGGUUGAUACACAUCCUGCGGCUCCAUAAACAAGUGCAUGCGCAGGUCCUGCUCCAAUGAUGACUGCACCCACGCCUCGUAUCGGUCUGAGAAGGCCUUCCUGUCUAACCAUUCUGCUGAGGACGGCACCAACUCCGCCACCUCCACCUGGGCCUGGCGUCAGAGCUUGCAUUCUCGUCUGAACAGAAAAGAUAGAAUAAUAGUAAAAUGCUCAUCCCCUAGGGCAGAUAACUCCUAUCAUCAAAUGCACUGGACACUAAGGAUAUAUUAAUCAGUUCCGUGUGAAUUGAUAUGCACAAAAACAGCUUAUACUUGAAUCUACGAUCAUUGCUAUUAAAUAUGCGAGUGAUUAUAAAUAACCAUUUCAAUUCCAUACACCUGUAGUUUCUGAGUAUCAUGCAAAAACAAGUUUCUAACACGGAUAUAUUAUCUUAGUGACUACUCCACUUUGGCUUGUUCAUAUAGAUAUAAAUUCAAAACAGUGAUGCCUGGGGAUGUCUAAAAGAUUUCACUAAAAUUCAUUGAAUUGAGGAAAUAUCUGGCUGAAAGUUGGGAACAAAAAUCUUAAUCACGCCAUAGGCAUACUUUUGAGACAUUUUGAGACAUUGUUAUCACAGAGGUCCACAGCCUUUAACCUUUAGAUUACUGAGAGGCUACUAAAGUGGCUUGAAAAAAUUGUAAUUUCUGAAGCAAUGUAAAAGCAUAUUAUAAUACUAAAACUAAGCAUAUAAGUAUUUAAUAAAUUUUAACCCACUCUAGUGGUUUUCCGGUA